rnacentral:lncRNA from 1 species
GGAGGACAUAAUUAACAAAAAGGUAAGAGUUAAUACCACAAAUUGAAACCUCUAAUUCUAGAUACAACAAACAAAAUGCCACAAAUUCAAUACACAAAGGUUCAUGGUUACAUAACACCUCCUAGCAUUUGAACAACCAAAAAUACACAUUGAAAUAUAAACUAAUAAUAAGCAACAUCUUCAAAAUUUUCCUCUGCUUCAAUUUAGCCUCAAGUUUCAUUUUAUCCUUCUGUAAGCCAAGAAUUAAUGCCUUUGAUUGGCCAGAAAAUUCUAGAUCAUACCACUGAAAAAAUCCACAAGCCACACGACUCUUAGCUUGAAAAUUUUAACCAAACCAUUAUAAAUAAAAUAAAAUUUUAGCCAUAUUAUAUCACAUAAAAUAUGAUAAUUUGAAAGAUAAUUACCCCAUAGUAUUUGCAUCCAAAAAAACAUCAUCCUGGGUUAGC